rnacentral:rRNA from 1 species
GGCUAACGCUGGCGGCGUGCCUAACACAUGCAAGUCGAACGGGGUAGCAAUACCCAGUGGCAGACGGGUGAGUAGCACGUGGUCAACCUACCUCUGUGUGGGGGAUAACUAGCCGAAAGGUUAGCUAAUACCGCAUACGAUCGUUUUGGGGCAUCCCGAGACGAUGAAAGGAGCAAUCCGCACGGAGAGGGGACUGCGUC